rnacentral:rRNA from 1 species
UUUUAUGGAGAGUUUGAUCCUGGCUCAGGAUGAACGCUGGCGGCGUGCCUAAUACAUGCAAGUCGAGCGAACGGACGAGAAGCUUGCUUCUCUGAUGUUAGCGGCGGACGGGUGAGUAACACGUGGAUAACCUACCUAUAAGACUGGGAUAACUUCGGGAAACCGGAGCUAAUACCGGAUAAUAUUUUGAACCGCAUGGUUCAAAAGUAAAAGACGGUCUUGCUGUCACUUAUAGAUGGAUCCGCGCUGCAUUAGCUAGUUGGUAAGGUAACGGCUUACCAAGGCAACGAUGCAUAGCCGACCUGAGAGGGUGAUCGGCCACACUGGAACUGAGACACGGUCCAGACUCCUACGGGAGGCAGCAGUAGGGAAUCUUCCGCAAUGGGCGAAAGCCUGACGGAGCAACGCCGCGUGAGUGAUGAAGGUCUUCGGAUCGUAAAACUCUGUUAUUAGGGAAGAACAUAUGUGUAAGUAACUGUGCACAUCUUGACGGUACCUAAUCAGAAAGCCACGGCUAACUACGUGCCAGCAGCCGCGGUAAUACGUAGGUGGCAAGCGUUAUCCGGAAU